AGAGUUUGAUCCUGGCUCAGGAUGAACGCUAGCGGGAGGCCUAACACAUGCAAGUCGAACGGGAUUGGGAGCUUGCUCCCAUGAGAGUGGCGCACGGGUGAGUAACGCGUAUGCAACCUACCUUUAACAGAGGGAUAGCCCAUAGAAAUGUGGAUUAAUACCUCAUAGUUCUGAGAUUUCGCAUGGAAUUUCAGAUAAAGCUCCGGCGGUUAAAGAUGGGCAUGCGUGACAUUAGCUAGUUGGUAAGGUAACGGCUUACCAAGGCUACGAUGUCUAGGGGUUCUGAGAGGAUGAUCCCCCACACUGGUACUGAGACACGGACCAGACUCCUACGGGAGGCAGCAGUGAGGAAUAUUGGUCAAUGGGCGCAAGCCUGAACCAGCCAUCCCGCGUGAAGGAUGAAGGUCCUAUGGAUUGUAAACUUCUUUUAUACACCAAGAAAAACUCCCACGUGUGGGAGCCCGACGGUAGUGUAUGAAUAAGCAUCGGCUAACUCCGUGCCAGCAGCCGCGGUAAUACGGGGGGUGCAAGCGUUGUCCGGAUUCAUUGGGCGUAAAGAGCGCGUAGGCGGCUUGUUAAGCGAGAUGUGAAAACCGGGGGCUUAACCCGCGGCCUGCAUCUCGAACUGGCAGGCUUGAGUCUGGUAGAGGAAAGUGGAAUUCCCAGUGUAGCGGUGAAAUGCGCAGAUAUUGGGAGGAACACCAGUGGCGAAGGCGGCUUUCUGGGCCACGACUGAUGCUGAGGCGCGAAAGCUAGGGGAGCAAACAGGAUUAGAUACCCUGGUAGUCC
rnacentral:rRNA from 1 species